CAAACAUGUAAUUGUAACCAGACAAGUUGGACACACAGGAACAAAGGGGUUGAGGGCCCUGCUCAAUGAACUUACAUGCAAGAGGGAGUGGGUAAGGGAAGUAUAGGGAAGUAGAUUAAUUGAAUUGUAUUCACUAAACACUUAGUGUGUUUUGUUUUUGUUUUUUAAUGACAGUUGCAGGAGAUGAAUCAGUUGGGAGCCAUUAUCUGAUAUGCUUUUGUGAAAAAGUAAGUUUUUAAUGAUUUUUUUGAAGGAGUGGAGACUGGGUGAGCAUCUAAUGGAAAAGGAAAGGGAGUUCCACAGGAACGGUGCAGCCCUGGAGAAGUCUUGAAUGCCAGCAUCAGAGGUGGAAGUACGAACAGAGGAUAGAGGUAGGUCUUCCCAGAGCGUAGGGGCCUAGACGGGUCACACUUGUGAAGUAGGGAGGAUAGAUGUAGAGAUUUGAAAGCAAGAACCAGAAUUUUAUAUUGAGCCCUAUAUCUUAAGGGAAGCCAGUGCAGGAAUUGUAGAUUGGAAUCUAUCACAAAACCUAGAAAUGACAUGAUUUGGGCAUUAAGUAGAACUAGAAACAUGUUGCUGAUAUAUAAAGGAAGGUGUAAAGGAACUUCUUGAAUUGUUCCUUUGGUUAACAGUAGUUGAAACUAGACAUGUGCAAUUCGUUGCGGUCCGAAUGUGAAUUCGGACGGAUUUCGGGCAAUUCAGACAUUCGGGUACUUCCGAAUGUCCAAAUAGCCGAAGUGUCGAAUUGCCGAGGUCCCAAAGUUCCGAAAUUACCAAAGUGCCGAAGUGCUGAAGUUACGAAGCACAGUAUUGCCUAAGUACUAAUAUACUUACCCAGUGGAAGAAGAAGAAUGUUACACCGUAUACAAUUUUAAAUAAAAAGUAUACAAACAUAGCCAGGAUUCAGCUGUAAGCAUUUGCAACACUUACAACAAUCAAGUAACACACAUUCAUAUAAAAUGUAAGUUACUUGGCCAGUCAAUGGAAUGACAGGAAUGAAUAAGUAGAUAACUCCCUAAUUCCCACGGUGUUAGGGAGCUAUCUACUAAAAGGCUGAAAGAUUACUUAGUAUUAGUAAAUUAUGCCCCUACUCGUAUACCGUGAGUAGGGGCAUGUCUAUUAAACAGUGAGCAGUCUAUGGCUGAUCACUGUAAAAAAACAAACAAAAAAAAAACACGUCCCCCCUCCCAAGCCCCCACCCGUGCCACGCUAGAGGGGGCUUCUAACCUGAAGGGGGGCUUAUUGCCCCUCCCGGCCCCCAUCCCUGAGCGGCGGGUGGGGACCCUAAAUUAGAAUAAGGCGGGGACCUAUUGUCCCCCAGCUCCCACCCCUGAGCGGUGGGUGGGGGCCCUAAAUUAGAAUGAGGGUGGGGACCCCACCCCAGAGUGGUGGGUGGGGGCCUAAAUACUAGUUAAGGGGGGACCUAAUGUCCUCCCUCCUGGCCCCCACCCCUGAGUGGUGGGUGGGGCCCCUAAAUUAGAAUGAGGGAGGACCUAAUUUCCUCCCUACUGGCCCCCACCCCUGAGCGUCGGGUUGGGGCCCUAAAUUAGAAUAAGGAGGGGACCUAUUGCCCCCCUCAACCCCCACCCCUGAGUGGUAGGUGGGGGCCCUAAAUGCUAAUUGGGGGGGACCUAAUGUCCUCCCCCUUGCACCCACCCCUGAGUGGUGGGUGGGGGACCUAAAUUAGAAUGAGGGGGGACCUAAUGUCCUCCCCCCUGGCCCCCACCCCUGAGCGGCGGGUUGGGGCCCUAAAUAAAAAAUGAACCCCUCCUCCCCUAGGUGACUAAAAGCCUCCACUUGCACGUUACGGGUGGGGGCUCGGGAGGGGGGACCCUUUUUAAAAAAAAAAUAUAUAUUUUUUAACAGUGAGCAGCCACAGGCUGCUCACUGUUUACUAGACAUGCCCCUACUCGCGGUGUAGCGAGUAGGGGCAUAAUUUACUAAUACUAAGUAAUGUUUACCAAUUUAGGUCUUUCAGCCUUUUGGUAGAUAACUCCCUAAUACCGUGGGAAUUAUGGAGUUAUCUACAAAGCGGCUGCAAGAGAAGUUCUGAAGUGUCGAAGUUGCUGAAGUUCCGAAGUUGACGAAGUUCCGAAAUGUUGAAGUACCGAAGUUGCCGAAGUGUUGAAGUGCCGAAUUGCCACAGUGCCGAAUUGCUGAAAUCCCGAAUUUCGGAAUGCCGAACUAAAAUUUUUUCCCAUGCACAUGCCUAGUUGAAACUCUCAAUAGAUGAGAUUCUGAUCUGGAAUGGAAUGGAGAAAACAAAAGGCAUUUUAUACCUGAAUAAUUCAUUUGUAAAAAUCCAUUUUGUAUGCUUGAACCGUGUUGAGAAUCCCUAGACUGACAUCAGUAGAGACCAGUUGUGACAAAUAUGGGUGAGUCUACCACCCAGCUAUGUAGGAGAAAAAAAUAAAAAGAAUUGUACUUACAAGAGAAGGGUCUUGAUUUCCUACAACCUCAGGACCUCCAUGAUCUCCCCCUGUGGGGUGAUCAUGAAAGGAAAAAGGAGGAAUAAAGGAAUCUUGUUUGGCAUAUUCCGAGGGUUGUUGACUUGGGUAAAACUGAGAGAGGCCUCUACUACUCUGUCUGCCUUGGAACUUACAAUCUCUCCCAGCCCCAGCAAGACUGCAGCAUCCUCCAUAGAUAAAGCCUAUUUCCCCAGUGGCGGCUGUAAAUAAACAGAGACAAAAUAGUCUGCACAUUAUCAAAGUAUAUCGCUUAAUUGGGUUGGAGUUUCAGUGAAAUUACUACACAGUCAGUAUGAGUAUUUCAUAAAGAUCCUAUUCUUAUGAAAUACUCAUUUUGCAAGGGUGGGGUGUGACAGUGCCACUUUAAGAGAAAAGGGAAGUAUUAUUCCACCACUUUACUUAUAUAUAUAUACACCCACUGUAUGUGUUAUUUUCUAAUAAGUUUCUUGUUAUCUUUGUUGUUAUUUUCUUUCAGCAUAACUGGAUGACUUUUUGUGACCAGGAUUUGCUUCUCGUCUGUUCUACACAAUUGUCUUCUACUAGAAUUAUCGUCUUCAUAUUGGAUCCAAUUCCAAAUUCUUCCUUCAGUUUUUAUAAUUUGUGUCUCAUUC